UGGAAGGUAACGGCCUACCAAGGUUGGAUGGGUAGCGAGUUGAGGAAUGAUUGGCCCCAAUGGAAUUGGGACCCGGUCCAUAUUCCUACGGGAGGCAGCAGUAGGAAUUCUUCCCCAAUGGGCGCAAGCCUGAUGGAGCAACACCGCGUGAGUAAAGAAGGGUUUCGGCUCGUAAAGCUUUGUUGUUAGAGAAGAACGUGCGUGAGAGCAACUGUUCACGCAGUGACGGUAUCUAACCAGAAAGUCACGGCUAAAUACGUGCCAGCAGCCGCGGUAAUACGUAGGUGGCAAGCGUUAUCCGGAUUUAUUGGGCGUAAAGCGAGCGCAGGCGGUUUGAUAAGUCUGAUGUGAAAGCCUUUGGCUUAACCAAAGAAGUGCAUCGGAAACUGUCAGACUUGAGUGCAGAAGAGGACAGUGGAACUCCAUGUGUAGCGGUGGAAUGCGUAGAUAUAUGGAAGAACACCAGUGGCGAAGGCGGCUGUCUGGUCUGCAACUGACGCUGAGGCUCGAAAGCAUGGGUAGCGAACAGGAUUAGAUACCCUGGUAGUCCAUGCCGUAAACGAUGAGUGCUAGGUGUUGGAGGGUUUCCGCCCUUCAGUGCCGCAGCUAACGCAUUAAGCACUCCGCCUGGGGAGUACGACCGCAAGGUUGAAACUCAAAGGAAUUGACGGGGGCCCGCACAAGCGGUGGAGCAUGUGGUUUAAUUCGAAGCUACGCGAAGAACCUUACCAGGUCUUGACAUCUUGCGCCAACCCUAGAGAUAGGGCGUUUCCUUCGGGAACGCAAUGACAGGUGGUGCAUGGUCGUCGUCAGCUCGUGUCGUGAGAUGUUGGGUUAAGUCCCGCAACGAGCGCAACCCUUGUUACUAGUUGCCAGCAUUCAGUUGGGCACUCUAGUGAGACUGCCGGUGACAAACCGGAGGAAGGUGGGGACGACGUCAGAUCAUCAUGCCCCUUAUGACCUGGGCUACACACGUGCUACAAUGGACGGUACAACGAGUCGCGAACUCGCGAGGGCAAGCUAAUCUCUUAAAACCGUUCUCAGUUCGGACUGCAGGCUGCAACUCGCCUGCACGAAGUCGGAAUCGCUAGUAAUCGCGGAUCAGCAUGCCGCGGUGAAUACGUUCCCGGGCCUUGUACACACCGCCCGUCACACCAUGAGAGUUUGCAACACCCCAAAGUCGGUGGGGUAACCCUUU
rnacentral:rRNA from 1 species